rnacentral:rRNA from 1 species
AUGGACAUGACAGUUGCAUACUUUGAGAGGCAGCAAGAUGAGAAUCCUGAAUUCUACUUUGCCAAAACAGUUGAUGAGGAAACAAACUCUGUCACGGGGCUGUUUUGGGUUGAUGGGAGGACAAGGGCAUUGUACCCUAAGUACAAAGAUUGCAUCUUCUUUGACACCACCUUUUGCACAAAUAGGUAUAACAUGUUGUUUGCUUCGAUUGUCGGCGUCAACAACCAUUUGUAGACAAUUUUGCUGGGGUGUGCUUUGCUUCCGAAUGAACAGAUUGAAAAUUUCAAGUGGGUGUUCCAGCACCUUUUGAUUGCGAUGAACAAUGAACACCCAUUGAACAUCAUGACAGACCAGGACAAGGCAAUGGAAACAGCCAUUUCUGAAGCCUUACCAAAUACAGUGCAUAGAUGUUGCAAAUGGCAUGUCCAGCGGAAAGCGAGGGAGAAGUUGGGUAGAAUACUCAGCAGGGAUGAAGUUUUUGAGCAAGCUUUCUACACAUGCAUCAACGAUCCGGACACGGUUGAUGAGUUUGAGGAGAACUGGUAG